rnacentral:rRNA from 1 species
UCGACGAAGCGCUUUAACCUGAUUCUUCGGAUGAAGGUUUUUGCGACUGAGUGGCGGACGGGUGAGUAACGCGUGGGUAACCUGCCUCGUACAGGGGGAUAACAGUUAGAAAUGACUGCUAAUACCGCAUAAGACCACGGAGCCGCAUGGCUCAGUGGGAAAAACUCCGGUGGUAUGAGAUGGACCCGCGUCUGAUUAGGUAGUUGGUGGGGUAACGGCCUACCAAGCCGACGAUCAGUAGCCGACCUGAGAGGGUGACCGGCCACAUUGGGACUGAGACACGGCCCAAACUCCUACGGGAGGCAGCAGUGGGGAAUAUUGCACAAUGGGGGAAACCCUGAUGCAGCGACGCCGCGUGAGCGAAGAAGUGUUUCGGUAUGUAAAGCUCUAUCAGCAGGGAAGAAAAUGACGGUACCUGACUAAGAAGCACCGGCUAAAUACGUGCCAGCAGCCGCGGUAAUACGUAUGGUGCAAGCGUUAUCCGGAUUUACUGGGUGUAAAGGGAGCGUAGACGGCUGUGUAAGUCUGAAGUGAAAGCCCGGGGCUCAACCCCGGGACUGCUUUGGAAACUAUGCAGCUAGAGUGUCGGAGAGGUAAGUGGAAUUCCCAGUGUAGCGGUGAAAUGCGUAGAUAUUGGGAGGAACACCAGUGGCGAAGGCGGCUUACUGGACGAUGACUGACGUUGAGGCUCGAAAGCGUGNGGAGCAAACAGGAUUAGAUNCCCUGGUAGUCCACGCCGUAAACGAUGACUACUAGGUGUCGGGGAGCAAAGCUCUUCGGUGCCGCAGCAAACGCAAUAAGUAGUC